AGCAUUUGUGUGGUUUUUCUUUUGUUGAGCAGGUGGACAGAGAUUUAAAAGCCAGGUGCUAAACAAAUACUCUUUUGUAAGCCAGGAUUCGUUGUUCUGUGCGCGUUCUGGUACAUGUGAAAAGGAAUAUG